rnacentral:rRNA from 1 species
CCUACGGGUGGCAGCAGUGAGGAAUAUUGGUCAAUGGACGAGAGUCUGAACCAGCCAAGUAGCGUGAAGGAUGACUGCCCUAUGGGUUGUAAACUUCUUUUAUAAAGGAAUAAAACUGACUACGUGUGGUUAUAUGCACGUACCUUAUGAAUAAGCAUCGGCUAACUCCGUGCCAGCAGCCGCGGUAAUACGGAGGAUCCGAGCGUUAUCCGGAUUUAUUGGGUUUAAAGGGUGCGUAGGCGGGUAUUUAAGUUAGUUGGGAAAGCUUGGGGCUUAAACGUUAAUUGGCAAUUGAUACUGGAGUACUAGAGUACAGACGAGGUAGGCGGAAUAAGUGAAGUAGCGGUGAAAUGCUUAGAUAUAACGUAGAACCCCGAUAGCGAAGGCAGCUUACGAGACUGUGACUGACGUUGAAGCACGAGAGUGUGGGUAGCGAACAGGAUUAGAUACCCGUGUAGUC